AUACGGAGGGUGCGAGCGUUAAUCGGAAUUACUGGGCGUAAAGCGCGCGUAGGCGGUUGGGUAAGUCGGAUGUGAAAGCCCCGGGCUUAACCUGGGAAUUGCAUUCGAUACUGCCCGGCUAGAGUAUGGUAGAGGGAAGCGGAAUUCCGGGUGUAGCGGUGAAAUGCGUAGAUAUCCGGAGGAACACCAGUGGCGAAGGCGGCUUCCUGGACCAAUACUGACGCUGAGGUGCGAAAGCGUGGGGAGCAAACAGGAUUAGAUACCCUAGUAGUCC
rnacentral:rRNA from 1 species